GUGAGUCAUCGAAUCUUUGAACGCACAUUGCGCCCUUUGGUAUUCCGAGGGGCAUGCCUGUUCGAGCGUCAUUAUAACCACUCAAGCCCCGGCUUGGUAUUGGGGUUCGCGGUCUCGCGGCCCUUAAAAUCAGUGGCGGUGCCAUCUGGCUCUCAGCGUAGUAGUUUAUCUCGCUAUUGGGUCCGGUGGUUGCUUGCCAAUAACCCCCAACUUUUCACGGUUGACCUCGGAUCAGGUAGGGAUACCCGCUGAACUUAAGCAUAUCAAUAAGCGGAGGA
rnacentral:misc_RNA from 1 species